GACGUAGGGCGCGAGCGUUGUCCGGAUUUAUUGGGCGUAAAGAGCUCGUAGGCGGCUUGUCGCGUCGUCCGUGAAAACCCGGGGCUCAACUCCGGGCUUGCGGGCGAUACGGGCAGGCUAGAGUUCGGUAGGGGAGACUGGAAUUUACGGUGUAGCAGUGAAAUGCGUAGAGAUCGUAAGGAAGACCAAUGGCGAAGGCAAGUCUCUGGACAGUUACUGACGCUGAGGCACGAAGGCCAGGGGAGCAAACGGG
rnacentral:rRNA from 1 species